UUCCUUCAUCAGCUUUCACGUUUUCUCUCCUCUUAAGUUUUUCCUCCCAUCUCGAGUUUUUUUUAUUGAGAGCAAACUCAUCCUGAGUUCUGUUAGUUCCGGUUGUUCGUGGCUGCUGUUCACUGGAGAUGUUGUUUCAUUCUGCUAAGACAGUCGCCAUAAUCUGCUUGCUGCCGAUGCAGGGCCCUAACUGUCUUUAGGACAACGCGAAGCUCGACUCGACCUACUUUUGUUCCUGCCUUUUCCACGUUCCAGAAAUUUGUUCCUGAUUCCUUGUUGUUCCAGCUGCAAGCGUUGCUGUUCAAUUGUCUUCUCCGCUUUGUUGUUUUAGUCUGGAUUAAGAUUGGGAUAGCUGCCCGCAUGGGCAGCCCAGUUGAUCAAGAAGGGGGCAUAAAGUGUCUUUCGUGGUGAAUUUUGGACCAAAAUCGAGGAUCAAGUCUUGCAAGAGACAGUGUGGGGUACCUCUCUCCAAAGUGAGGGAGAUUCUUGUGCGCGGUGAGUCUGGGUCUAGCCACUGCAUCCAGUUAGGUCAUCAUGAUUAACCCCCCACGUCCUAUCGGGUCAGGGAAUGUCAUUAUCGUGUCAUUUUAUGAUGACGAAGAGGAGACAAAAUGGCUACGAACAGAACAAAAGAGAAACAACAACCCGGUAAUAUCGGUGGUUUGCGGAGUGGUAUUAGUAUAAUAAGAAGGAUCCCUGUGCCAGUUGAGUUGACGAUGAAAGUACAAGCAUCCAGAAGCCGCGAGGCGUGAGCGAAGCUUCCCUAAGCCAAGCCAGCUCAUUACCCAGCCAUCACGUUGCAGCUGAGCUGGACUCCGGAGACAUCCAACUCCGUGUUCUAAUAAAAUCAUCAGAAAUCCAAGAUCAAACCUAACCCUUUAUUAAUUAAAUUCCAAUUGCAAAAAUGUCAAUAAAUUAUUAUAACUGAAUUAAAUAUCCUGCAACACUUAGGAAAUGGAAGGCACCUGGACAGGGGCGAAUCCUGUGUAGACUCAAUCAAGGUCUUGGUACGCUAUUAAUUUUGAUUUACACUUAUGUCUAUAAUAAAUUUAAAAAUUCUCUUUUUCUUGCUCAAGCAUCAAGCUGUCCACCGCCUUG